CCGCGGCCCUCAGCGCCGUCUCCCCACCCGCCAGCUCCCCCCGCAUCCCCUUUGCUUUCCUCCGCCUCUAGGGGCCCUCCUCCGUGACCCCUGAAUGGCCCCCACUUCCCUCAGAUCCACACCUCGCACCUGUCAGUGCCCCGCCCUGUCCUGUCCAGUCCCAGCGGAUCGACCGCGCCCGCCCGGGGCCCCUCCCAACCCCGGCGCCGUCCUCCGCGCGGCUCCCACUUGCUGCCCCCUCUCGCCACCACCCUUGCCCCUCGGCUCCCUGAGUCGUCAGAGGUCCCCCCUCUCCUCCUCCCAAGCCCGCAGUUCCCUCCCCUCCCUUCCCCUCCUCCUCUGCUGCUGAGCGACUCUUCCUGCUCGCUUGCUUUCUCACGCAGGCCGUUAAGGACUCCUGAAGAGGCCAGAUCCAAAGAAGUCUGAGAGAAGACCAUGUGGAGAGAGGGCCAGCGAUCUGAGUUGGUCCAGCCAUUGCAGCUGAGCUGCCAGUUGUAGCCACAGGACUGAACCCAGGGUUUGUCUACCAUUGUCCCACUUGCAUGAAUAAAUUGCUUUCUGAAGGCAUGAAGACUUAGACAAGAAAAACAAGUGGAAAGAGGCUGGUCACAGAAAGCUGAGCAGAUACAAUUUAAAAAAGAAGAAAAGAAUAAAGGAAAGGGGCUUCCUUGGUGGCGCAGUGGUUAAGAAUCCGCCUGCCAACGCAGGGGACAUGGGUUCGAGCCCUGGUCCGGGAAGAUCCCACAUGCUGUGGAGCAACUAAGCCCGUGCGCCACAACUACUGAGCCCGUGUGCCGCAACUAUUGAAGCCUGUGUGCCUCGAGUCCGUGUUCUUCAACAAGAGAAGCCACCGCAGUGAGAAGCCACCGCAGUGAGAAGCCCACGCACUGCAACAAAGAGUAGCCCCCACUCUCUGCAACUAGAGAAAAGCCCACGCGCAGCAGGAAGAAUCAACACAGCCAAUAAAUAAAUAAAUAAAUUUAUUUUAAAAAAAAAAGGAAAAAGGAAAAACUUUUUCUUCUUGUGAUGAGAUAAAGGGAGAAUUUCUAUCUUUGUGAAUAUGUUGGGAAGAAGAGAGAGAGGCAUUGAUGCUGUAAGUCUGGUGAACCAGAAAAAUAACAUUACUUCAUCUCUUAAAAAGAAAAAGGAUGGGACUUCCCUGGUGGCGCAGAGGUUAAGAAUCCGCCUGCCAAUGCAGGGGACAUAGUUUCGAGCUCUGAUCUGGGAAGAUCCCACAUGCCGCGGAGCAACUAAGCCCGUGCACCGCAACUACUGAGCCUGCUCUCUAGAGCCCGUGAGCCACAACUACUGAGCCCACGUGCCACAACUACUGAAGGCUGUGCACCUAGAGCCCAUGCUCGGCAACAGGAGAAGCUA